AGUGGAGCUCUGGUGGAUGUAACCCAUAGCCUAUCUAUGAUGUUUCCUACAUGGCAGCUGGCGUGGCGGACAGUCGCUCUAAUGUGAUUAAGUGAUAAAGGAGUUGAAUUUAUUCUCGUCAUUUCAACUUUAAUCUCGAAAUUUCGACAUUAUUCUCGAAAUGGUAGUUCAACUUUAUUCUCGUCAUGUUGACUUUAUUCUCGCCAUUUCGACUUAAUUCUCGACAUUUCAACUUUAUUCUCGAAAUGCAAAAUAAUAAUAUAAAAUCUUCCUCCUUGAUUUUUUUCCCCUUGAUGUG